GUUGUAUGGUUAAGUGACUAAGCGUACACGGUGGAUGCCUUGGCAGUCAGAGGCGAUGAAAGGCGUAAUAACUUGCGAUAAGCCCAGAUUAGGUAGUAAUAACCUUUUGAGUCUGGGAUUUCUGAAUGGGGAAACCCACGUGCAUAAGCACGUAUCCUGUUGUGAAUACAUAGCAGCAGGAGGCAAACCGGGGGAACUGAAACAUCUAAGUACCCCGAGGAAGAGAAAUCAACCGAGAUUCCGAAAGUAGCGGCGAGCGAAAUUGGAUUAGCCCUUAAGCUUUUAAUGAUGCAGGUGAAGCCUCUGGAAAGUGGCGCAGUAAAGGGUGAUAGCCCCGUAACCGACACAUCAUCAUGAGUGAAAUCGAGUAAGGCGGGACACGUGAUAUCCUGUCUGAAUAUGGGGGGACCAUCCUCCAAGGCUAAAUACUACUGACUGACCGAUAGUGAACCAGUACCGUGAGGGAAAGGCGAAAAGAACCCCUGAGAGGGGAGUGAAAUAGAACCUGAAACCGUGUACGUACAAGCAGUAGGAGCACCUUCGUGGUGUGACUGCGUACCUUUUGUAUAAUGGGUCAGCGACUUAAUUUUAGUAGCAAGGUUAACCGUUUAGGGGAGCCGUAGGGAAACCGAGUCUUAACUGGGCGUACAGUUGCUAGGAUUAGACCCGAAACCAGGUGAUCUAGCCAUGGGCAGGUUGAAGGUUGAGUAACAUCAACUGGAGGACCGAACCGACUAAUGUUGAAAAAUUAGCGGAUGACUUGUGGCUAGGGGUGAAAGGCCAAUCAAACCUGGAGAUAGCUGGUUCUCCCCGAAAGCUAUUUAGGUAGCGCCUCGGACGAAUACUACUGGGGGUAGAGCACUGUUAAGGCUAGGGGGUCAUCCCGACUUACCAACCCUUUGCAAACUCCGAAUACCAGUAAGUACUAUCCGGGAGACACACGGCGGGUGCUAACGUCCGUCGUGGAGAGGGAAACAACCCAGACCGCCAGCUAAGGUCCCAAAGUAUAGCUAAGUGGGAAACGAUGUGGGAAGGCUCAGACAGCCAGGAUGUUGGCUUAGAAGCAGCCAUCAUUUAAAGAAAGCGUAAUAGCUCACUGGUCGAGUCGGCCUGCGCGGAAGAUGUAACGGGGCUAAGCUAUACACCGAAGCUGCGGCUACGUACCUUAGGGUAUGUGGGGUAGGGGAGCGUUCUGUAAGCCGUUGAAGGUGGUCUGUAAGGGCUGCUGGAGGUAUCAGAAGUGCGAAUGCUGACAUGAGUAACGAUAAAGGGAGUGAAAAACUCCCUCGCCGGAAGACCAAGGGUUCCUGUCCAACGUUAAUCGGGGCAGGGUAAGUCGACUCCUAAGGCGAGGCCGAAAGGCGUAGUCGAUGGGAAACGGGUUAAUAUUCCCGUACUUCUUACAAUUGCGAUGGGGGGACGGAGAAGGCUAGGUGGGCCUGGCGACGGUUGUCCAGGUUCAAGUACGUAGGCGGAAAGUUUAGGUAAAUCCGGACUUUCUUAACGCUGAGAUACGAUGUCGAGCACCUACGGGUGUGAAGUCAUUGAUGCCAUGCUUCCAGGAAAAGCCUCUAAGCUUCAGAUUGUAAGGAAUCGUACCCCAAACCGACACAGGUGGUCGGGUAGAGAAUACCAAGGCGCUUGAGAGAACUCGGGUGAAGGAACUAGGCAAAAUGGUACCGUAACUUCGGGAGAAGGUACGCUCUUAUCAGUGAAGUCCCUUGCGGAUGGAGCAGACGAGAGUCGCAGAUACCAGGUGGCUGCAACUGUUUAUUAAAAACACAGCACUGUGCAAAAUCGUAAGAUGACGUAUACGGUGUGACGCCUGCCCGGUGCCGGAAGGUUAAUUGAUGGGGUUAGACUUCGGUCGAAGCUCUUGAUCGAAGCCCCGGUAAACGGCGGCCGUAACUAUAACGGUCCUAAGGUAGCGAAAUUCCUUGUCGGGUAAGUUCCGACCUGCACGAAUGG
rnacentral:rRNA from 1 species